AUGAACAUUUAGCCAUGAUCUCAAUGCUGAAACAUUACAGAUGAGAAGGUUGACAUGGUAUCACUAAGCUAGACUAGAAUCCAAGCUUCCAGCCUAAUAUGUGGAGUCUUUUUUCAUGUUUCCAGGAAAUGAAUCGUGUGAUCGGAUCUUACAAGAGGACAAAUUUUGUUUAAAACUGAAUGAUAAAGAUUGGCCACAAAGAAAGCUGGACACAUACAAAUUUUAAAAUCCAGUUUCUAUGUCUAUGAAUACAAGAAGAAGUGCAUCACCAAAGUAAACAAGAUCACAAUCUAGUGAUAGCUUAAACAAUCUGUGAAUGUGUGAUCCAUACUGCUCUCAGAAAGGGAAGGAUGGUUUUUCUGGUGCUGCUACUAAUAGAAAAGCACAUACAGCAUGCAUGUCUAAGGCAGUCUCAUGUAAUAUAGUAGUACCUUGGCUGGGCACGGUGGCUUAUGCCUGUAAUUCCAGCAUGUUGGGAGGCCAAAGCGGACGGAUCAUGAGGUCAGGAGUUCGAGACCAACCUGACCAACAUGGGGAAACCCCAUCUGUACUAAAAAUACAAAAAAAUCAACUGGGCGUGGUGGUGCGUGCCUGUAAUCCCAACUACUUGGAAGGCUGAGGCAGGAGAACUGCUUGAACCCGGGAGGCAGAGGUGGCAGU
rnacentral:lncRNA from 10 species